rnacentral:rRNA from 1 species
GAUGAACGCUGGCGGCGUGCCUAAUACAUGCAAGUCGAGCGAACGGACGAGAAGCUUGCUUCUCUGAUGUUAGCGGCGGACGGGUGAGUAACACGUGGAUAACCUACCUAUAAGACUGGGAUAACUUCGGGAAACCGGAGCUAAUACCGGAUAAUAUUUUGAACCGCAUGGUUCAAAAGUGAAAGACGGUCUUGCUGUCACUUAUAGGUGGAUCCGCGCUGCAUUAGCUAGUUGGUAAGGUAACGGCUUACCAAGGCAACGAUGCAUAGCCGACCUGAGAGGGUGAUCGGCCAAACGGGAAUGGGGAACCGUCCAAAACCCCUACGGGGGGCAGCGGUAGGGAAUCUUCCGCAAGGGGCGAAGGCCUAACGGGGAAAGGCGGAGGAGGUAUGAAAGGUCUCGGGAUCGUAAACCCUGUUUAUAGGGGAGAAAAAUAGGUUAAAGAAACGGGCCAAUUUUGAGCGGAACCAAACAAAAAGGCCCGGGCAAAUUCCGG